UAGAGAGAGAGAGAAAAUGCGCGGAAGAGAAGAUGAAAAGAAAGAAAAAGCAAAUUAAAAAAUGAAGUAAAAUACACAGUAGUUUUCGGGAAAGCCAUCAGAAUUGUGUUUCCAAUAGCAAUACUAGACACUGAGAUAUUCAAACUUGUUGUGUGACAAAGCCUGCUGUCGUUUCAAGGAAAAUUUUCUUACGAAGAAAAAUUAUAUUCCUAGGUGAGUGGAGAAAGAAUUUAAAGUUCACCACCACUCGCCAAGCGCAACGACGCUGGAAGUUAUUGUUCCACUGUCACACGAUCUGUCAAUGAAGCAUCGAGUUUCUCACCAAUAGAGAGGGGUGCCGUGAAAUUCACAGUGAAAUCAAUCAAAAAGGAAUGGAUUUCUUUAUCAAUUUGGUGUGCCAAAAGGAACUGGCCUUUAAAGCUAAACCAUUCUUUUUCCACGCUGCAAACACCCCGUAUAAGAUAUAUAGCAACAUCGUUCCAUAUUUCCUUCAUAUUCUGACAGCAGCAGAUACAAGCAUGUCUGUGUGUGCGUGGUAUUGUACCGACGGUGAAUAAGAAUGGUGCGCUGCGCUGCGACCGGAACAAACACACCAACACCUAGAAUAAAGACACUGCCGAGGAGGAAAAAAGGAAUGGAAAAGAUUCAUUAAACUCAAAAGGGAAAAAAGGCUUUUCUUCCGAUCAAUCUGCUGCCAUUCAACAGCCGGUCCCCUUAUUGUUGCGACAUUCGCCACUGGAACUGCACAAAGUUCUACAUUUAUGUGCGUCAACCGGAUCAUUCAACUCGCGAGAAAAAAAAAAGAAAACAAGGUAAAGCAGCAGCGCUGGUUAGAGAACCACACCAAAGAAAACCUCACAACGACUUCUGCCCGAAUGGUUGCCCUCCCGAUAGGAUAGCUGACACAACCGAAAACCUGGCACCUGGCACGGAGGCCUUUGUUACGCCAUUUGUUUUUUCGCAAAACGGACAAAACAUCACUCUUAGGGGAGAAGCUGCUGCCCUGCACGCACAAACACACACACACACGCACAAAGAGGCAUUUAGUGUACUUGCCUGCCGCCAUCCAGAGCAUUUCAAUGGCCCCGUCUACUAAAAACUAUAUGUACACACACUCGAUUUUCGUCCGUGCACACGGUGAGACGCGCUGAAUACUUCUGGCUCUGGCCGUACGGCACCGCGAGCAGCGAAGCGGCGCCGCACACCCAUCUGAAGAACAUAACCGCACCGGAUCAAGCAAAACUCCGGGCCUGCUACCAAUAUAUACGGACGGAUAGGACAAUGAGAAGCUAAAAAUUAAUGCAAUGGAAGAUUCUUCCGAGACUUCACAAAAUCGCUCGGUUUAGUCCAGGGGUUUGCUUUAAUGUAAUCCAAAUCAUGCAAUGAAGAACAAAAAAAAAGGAUCUUCUUGAUUAA